rnacentral:rRNA from 1 species
GAUGAACGCUGGCGGCGUGCUUAACACAUGCAAGUCGAACGAUGAAGCCCAGCUUUCUGUGUGGUGUAGUGGCGAACGGGUGAGUAACACGUGAGUAACCUGCCCUUAACUCUGGGAUAGGCCUGGUAAACUGGGUGUAAUACCUGAUAGGAGCUUUCACCACACGGAUGGUGUUGUAAAGAUUGAUCGGUUUUGGAUGGAUUCUAGGCCUAUCAGCUUCGUGGUGAGGUAAUGGCUCACCAAGGCGACGACGGGUAGCCGGCCUGUGAGGGUGACCGGCCACCAUGGGACUGCGAAACGGCGCAGAAUCCUACGGGAGGCAGCAGUGGGGAAUAUUGCACAAUGGGCGCAAGCCUGAUGCAGCGACGCCGCGUGAGGGAUGACGGCCUUCGGGUUGUAAACAUCUUUCAGUAGGGAAGAAGCGAAAGUGACGGUACCUGCAGAAGAAGCACCGGCUAACUACGUG